rnacentral:lncRNA from 9 species
UAUAAUGCAUUUUGUCAUUUCAGUCGAAGGUUCUAAAUAAGACUGGUCAGCUUAGAAGCCUGAAAGAGAUUUGUUCUAAGUUAUUUCCUCAUGACUGAAAUUGCAAACGUCAGAUUCCAUUACAAGUGGCAAAGACAAGAGCUCCUCUCUGGCUUCAUUCAGCACAAGGUGGCCCAGAAGUCUGUGCCCUCAGACUUGGGGACCCUCUUAUAUUUAUUGAGCACCUACAACAUCCUGAAUCCUCUUAGGUACUAAAGACAUGACAGUAGCUGAAGAAGCAUAGAUGUGCCACCUGCUGUCACAGGGAUUCUGAUGUCUCUGAUGUGUCAGACCAAAAGUCAAUGUUUGUGCAUGCCCUGAUCUGGUUUUGACCUUGGCCACAUCAAUGUCAUAGAACAUCUUCACAGCCCAUUUUGUCUGGUGCUCAUUGGCUUUGACAUCCACAACGAGCAUGAACCAGAAUUUGAAUGAAGGUAGCUCUGUGGAGCCAAGUUGUUCCUGCUCUUCGGAUGGGAUUUCACGGUCUAUCUGCCAACUUCUUAAGAGCACCCACUCCUUCCAGUUUUCCGGAUUUAUUCUGAUUACAAUUGCUCUUAGUCAUCUUAAUCUUGAAAUAAAGAGCUUUUGGGCCCAGCAGUGUAUUAUAGCCACCAAAACAUUUACUUUAUUUACUUUCGUCCUUCCAGACAAUGUAAAAGAACCACUUAAAAAUGUUUUAAAAAAGAAUGUUUGGAAAUGUGACUGGGUCAUCACAAUGCAUUGCUUGCACCAUGCUCUGAAAAUCCGUUCCCAAAUUUAAAAUUCAAUUUCCCUUUAGAAGGCAGCCAGUCAUAAGAAGCUAAAGAUCAGUGUAGGUUUAUAUACAACCAUUUUUCUCUCUGCUUUUCAAACCCUUUGUAAACAUGCAAUACUGGGAAAUCCAGGUACUACAUGGCAUCGUAGCUGCUUGUCUUGAACGGCUGCAAAAAAUAUGGUGCAGAGUCUAACUGCCUCUCGCUUUAAGUUAUAAGGGCCUCCUUUGGUGGAGAAUGAAGAGCAAGCAUCUGCUUAUUCAGACCUCUCUCUCUUUACCUGAGAGGAAGCCAGGCAGAUGUGUGUUCUGUACUGGUUCUACUAUGGAUUCCUUCUGUGACUUAAGAGAUCAUUUUACAUCCCAUUGCCUCAUGUCCCUUCUCAUUAAGAAGGCAGUACUUCUCCAGGUUUCCUUCUCACAGGAGUAUUGUGUGGAACAAUGGAGGGUUAAUUAAUUGAAGGACAACCAUGCAAGAGAAAUAAUGAGGAUUUCUAUUGCAUUUCCUUGGCUUUGAGUAAAGCCACUCCUAAAUCAAUUUCAAUCAGAAGCUUAAGGCCUCAAUUUUUAUUACUUGUCACACUUUGAGGUUUAAAAUGAACAUGAAUCUCUUGAAUAUAAUUUUUCCCAAAUUAGAUAUUUUUUUUCCCCUGCAAGACUGGUUUCUAAUACCUACUUCACUGGGUUAAUCAAUAAGUUAUGUUGCAUUAAAUUUAGUAGAUUUAUUGUGAAUCAAUGAAAAUGACAGUUUUUUUUUCUUUGCUAUCACAUGUGUUCUACUACUGCUGUUGCUUUUGCUUGUUUAAGUUAAAUGGGUGAAAUCCCAUUGUUCAAUAUGAGUUUGCUUUUUUCCGUCUUUUACUUUCAGAGAUAAUCUUGGCCAAAACCCAGGGCAAAAUCAUGACAGACCUUGAAUGGAAAGUCAAUGACUUUCGAAAAAAAAAAAAUAAUAACCUUUGCUCACCUGCUGACUAUCCAAAUGCUGGUUUUCUUGGGAGAACACAUUGAAGCUGUUUUCCUCCCUGCCUCCCUCCUGAGGCUUGAUCUGUCAAUCAGUGAUGGGCUGGAGCGUACACAUGUAGACCAACAGGGCUGCAGGAACGGACUUGCCUCCCUGCUGUUGAGAGGGCUGGUGCCAGCCCUGUGCUCAAACUCAGAGAAUGGAGAUUCAGGCGCUUGAGCACUCCAGAUCAGUGAUGCCCAGGUGGUGCCUGAACUUAGGUUUCCUCACCACCAUGUUGUAUUCCAGACAGAAGGGGUUCUCUGAUUUGUGUUCUGGAAAACGCAAAGCUUCUUCCACCUUACAGAGCAAUCUGUGUCCCCGUUCCCAUGGCCCUAGUAAAUCAAAGCACUUUAUGUGGGCAGUAGAAAGCCUCUAACUUGGACUGGGGGUGCAGCCCCCAUUGUUUUCCAAUUUCC